rnacentral:rRNA from 1 species
AGUGAACGCUGGCGGUAGGCCUAACACAUGCAAGUCGAACGGCAGCACAGUAAGAGCUUGCUCUUACGGGUGGCGAGUGGCGGACGGGUGAGGAAUACAUCGGAAUCUACUUUUUCGUGGGGGAUCACGUAGGGAAACUUACGCUAAUACCGCAUACGACCUACGGGUGAAAGCAGGGGAUCUUCGGAACUUGCGCGAUUGAAUGAGCCGAUGUCGGAUUAGCUAGUUGGCGGGGUAAAGGCCCACCAAGGCGACGAUCCGUAGCUGGUCUGAGAGGAUGAUCAGCCACACUGGAACUGAGACACGGUCCAGACUCCUACGGGAGGCAGCAGUGGGGAAUAUUGGACAAUGGGCGCAAGCCUGAUCCAGCCAUACCGCGUGGGUGAAGAAGGCCUUCGGGUUGUAAAGCCCUUUUGUUGGGAAAGAAAAGCAGCAGGUUAAUACCCCGCUGUUCUGACGGUACCCAAAGAAUAAGCACCGGCUAACUUCGUG